rnacentral:rRNA from 1 species
GACGAACGCUGGCGGCGCGCCUAACACAUGCAAGUCGAACGAGCGAGAGAGAGCUUGCUUUCUCGAGCGAGUGGCGAACGGGUGAGUAACGCGUGAGGAACCUGCCUCAAAGAGGGGGACAACAGUUGGAAACGACUGCUAAUACCGCAUAAGCCCACGACCCGGCAUCGGGUAGAGGGAAAAGGAGCAAUCCGCUUUGAGAUGGCCUCGCGUCCGAUUAGCUAGUUGGUGAGGUAACGGCCCACCAAGGCGACGAUCGGUAGCCGGACUGAGAGGUUGAACGGCCACAUUGGGACUGAGACACGGCCCAGACUCCUACGGGAGGCAGCAGUGGGGAAUAUUGCACAAUGGGGGAAACCCUGAUGCAGCGACGCCGCGUGGAGGAAGAAGGUCUUCGGAUUGUAAACUCCUGUUGUUGAGGAAGAUAAUGACGGUACUCAACAAGGAAGUGGCGGCUAACUACGU